AUACCUUUCUCGGCCUUUUGGCUAAGAUCAAGUGUAGUAUCUGUUCUUAUCAGUUUAAUGUCUGAUACGUGAACCAAUGGUUCACACGAUAUUAAUUUAAUUUUUUUUAGGGGGAAAGCCCAUUAAGGUAGCUUGCUAUCUGAGCUUUCAAGCGUCGCCAUUGUGUUGCACUACCGCUUUGGCCUGGCGCACCCUAC
rfam:Ipomoea nil DNA, scaffold: scaffold0804, cultivar: Tokyo-kokei standard.